rnacentral:lncRNA from 1 species
GAGGAAGACAACUCAGCAGCACAUCUUUUCUCCUUUGCUAAGGUUCUUCUGCCACAAUGAAACUGCUGAUUUGUCUUUCCUGCAUUCUGAGCAUAGCAGCCGCUGUCCCAGUCCGUCGGUCAGCAAGUGGCAGUGCCAGCAACGAGCGCAUUCCUAUCAUGGUUCCGCAAGUGCCUCCUCAGGUUCCUCCUCAGUUUCCUCCUCAGUUUCCUCCUCCACUUCCAGCACAACCAUACCCACCUCAGAUUCCAGCACAGCCAUACCCACCUCAGAUGAUCCCGAUCUAUGUGACCUAUGAUCCAGCUCAGGGUUUGCCCUCUAUUCUCAGCAAUCUGCCAGGCGUGGUGAACCCUGGACCUGGAGGUGUUGGUGGCCCAUUUCUGAUCCCUUAUCCUGGAAUUCCUGGGGCGGGCUUCCCACCUAUUGUGGGGGUGACAGCAAGAACAUGA